ACAAUGAUACUUCCGCCCAGCCACAGUUUCAUGCAAUGUGGGCGGCUCGGAGAGAUCCUCGGAGGGGUUGGAUUCCCAUGA
rfam:Oscillibacter valericigenes Sjm18-20 DNA, complete genome.